GCUUAGCCCUAAACAUCGAUUGUAAUAUCCGCCCGGGGAUUACAAACGUUAGUUUAAAACCCAAAGGACUUGGCGGUGCUUAACAUCCACCUAGAGGAGCCUGUUCUAGAACCGAUAACCCCCGUUAAACCUCACCCUCUCUUGUCCGCCUAUAUACCACCGUCGUCAGCUUACCCUGUGAAGGCUUAACAGUAAGCAAAGUUGGCAAAGCCCAAAACGUCAGGUCGAGGUGUAGUGAAUGAGGGGGGAAGAAAUGGGCUACAUUUGCUCGAGCAUUGAAAGAAGGAGGAUUUAGCAGUAAGCAGGGAAUAGAGUGCCCUACUGAAAUUGGCCCUAAAGCGCGC
rnacentral:rRNA from 1 species